GAACCGCUGGUCUAGAGGUAUGAUUCUUGUUUAGGGUACGAGAGGUCCCAGGUUCAAAUCUCGGACGAUCCU